rnacentral:rRNA from 1 species
UACGUAGGUGGCAAGCGUUGUCCGGAUUUACUGGGCGUAAAGAGCGCGCAGGCGGUCGGAUAAGUCGAAUGUGAAAGCCCCCGGCUCAACUGGGGAGGGUCAUUCGAUACUGUUCGACUGGAAGGCAGGAGAGGGAAGCGGAAUUCCCGGUGUAGUGGUGAAAUGCGUAGAUAUCGGGAGGAACACCAGUGGCGAAGGCGGCUUCCUGGCCUGUUCUUGACGCUGAGGCGCGAAAGCUAGGGGAGCAAACGGGAUUAGAAACC